AUGCUAACGAAGACCUUGCCUUCAAAAGAACUUCAUCCCCAUGUCGGAGAUCAUCCCUAUCGCGAUGCUCACCGCCACCAAGUGUCACUUUUUUUACCGGCAGCUGAUAAGUCUCCUACUGGCUACGGGUGCGGCUCAAACCGACAUUUUGGUCCUCAUCGACGGUCAUCAGGAAGAGACUGCGCAGCUGGCCGCGAUCUUUGGCUUGCCGGUAAUCGAGCACCGCCACGAGGGAGACGCCGGCACUAACACUCCC
rnacentral:lncRNA from 1 species